UACGUAGGGUGCGAGCGUUAAUCGGAAUUACUGGGCGUAAAGCGUGCGCAGGCGGUUUGCUAAGACAGGUGUGAAAUCCCCGGGCUUAACCUGGGAACUGCGCUUGUAACUGGCAAGCUUGAGUUGUGGCAGAGGGGGGUGGAAUUCCGACGUGUAGCGUGAAAUGCGUAGAGAUGUGGAGGAACACCGAUGGCGAAGGCAGCCCCCCUGGGCUAACACUGACGCUCGAUGCACGAAAGCGUGGGGAGCAAACAGG
rnacentral:rRNA from 1 species